rnacentral:rRNA from 1 species
GACGAACGCUGGCGGCGUGCUUAACACAUGCAAGUCGAACGGAAAGGCCCUGCUUUUGUGGGGUGCUCGAGUGGCGAACGGGUGAGUAACACGUGAGUAACCUGCCCUUGACUUUGGGAUAACUUCAGGAAACUGGGGCUAAUACCGGAUAGGAGCUACUGCUGCAUGGUGGGGGUUGGAAAGUUUCGGCGGUUGGGGAUGGACUCGCGGCUUAUCAGCUUGUUGGUGGGGUAGUGGCUUACCAAGGCUUUGACGGGUAGCCGGCCUGAGAGGGUGACCGGCCACAUUGGGACUGAGAUACGGCCCAGACUCCUACGGGAGGCAGCAGUGGGGAAUAUUGCACAAUGGGCGGAAGCCUGAUGCAGCAACGCCGCGUGCGGGAUGACGGCCUUCGGGUUGUAAACCGCUUUCGCCUGUGACGAAGCGUGAGUGACGGUAAUGGGUAAAGAAGCACCGGCUAACUACGUGCCAGCCGCCGCAGUAAAAC